rnacentral:lncRNA from 1 species
GGUCUGUAUGCUCCCCUAGAGGUUUGAGCAGCUGGGCAAUGAAGAGGUGAGCUACAACUCCCAGUGCACACCCUGCGAGGGGGACAAGGGAACUUUUCCUGUUUUAGAAAUACCAAAGCACAAUCAACCCAUCAAACGAAAAAAACAACAACAGCCUAAAAGACAAGGUUGAUGUGGAGGAGAAAAAAAAGGUCUCGCUCUGCCACCCAGGCUAGGAGUGCAGUAGAGUGACUACAGUUCACAGCAGACUCAACCUUCCAGGCUCAAGCAAUCCUCUCACCUCGGCCUCCCAAGUACCUGGGACUACAGGCACACUCCACCAUUCCCAGCUAAUUUUUGUAUUUUUUGUAGAGACAUGGUUUUGACAUAUUGUCCAGGCUGGUCUUUUACUGUCAAAUUGCUAUAUUUUAUUGCUUUUGUUUUUGAAUAUUUUUGAUCCAUGAUUGAGUCCAUGAACAUGGAACCUGUGGACAUGGAGGCCCAACAAUAGUACUUAAUGUCUUUCUAACACAGCUACCUUAUGAACUCUGGAAAAAAUUGUAUGCCAGCCAAAGCAGUGGAACAACCAUAUUCUACUCACUGGAUUGUCCUCAACUGUUCAACAAUACCUCCCAAACUUGUUCCUGACUUCCGCCCAACAUGCAAUGACUCCAUUCUCAUUGUGCUCUUACCUGUUUCACUUAGUUGGAUUAUUUCUGUUCAAAAAUAUGUUUGAUUUUUAAAACUCAGGCUUUCACAGCUUUUAAAAGUUGUAUAAACCACUGUAUUUGUUUGAUAGAUGUGGGUGAAUUUGGCUUCCUACAAAGCAAUAACAAAUCAUCCACAUAGGAAAGUUACCAUUUCUGCAGAUGGAAAAAUGUGUACCUUGCUUCUCAUAUCAUUGUUUUCAUUUUGCAAGAUAUGAAUUUCUUGAAUAGUGGUAUCACCUACAAUUACUUAAAA